rnacentral:tRNA from 1 species
GGUGUAGCUCAGGGGUAGAAUGCUUGCCUAGCACAUGUGAGACACUGGGUUCAAUCCCCAGCACCA